CGGCGUGUCUGGCCUCGGUGCCUCCCGAAGCACAGGUCUUACCAGGUCUGCUGGCUCUUCCCUUCAGGAGUGACACAAACGACAGCAUCCUUAAAGAUCCAGCGCUGAGGGAUUCCCCUGACCUUGGAGGAUCUGAUGGGACUUGAAAUGCUGGGAAGUGACAGACUGGAGCUGCUCUUUUCUUCCCAACAGUCACUCUUGGUGUUUUGUAGUUGGCUGGUGGCCUGAGGUCUCAGCUGCCCACCACAAUUCUCACCUGCAGAGCUCAAUGCCUCACGCAGUGGUGCCAGGCUUGGAAGGUUUCUGAAGGAGCAAUGCUGCAGGGCCCUGCAGCUGGGGACCAGGCACUAACAGAUGUGGGGGACAGCUCUGGCAGCUGGAGACACUGGGAAACCUCACUGCUGUCCUGCCCUUGUCCUCGAGCUUUCUAGGGUGAAAACAUCUUGAUAUUUCCUAGUUAAGGAGCCCUGACACAAGUGAAAUGACCAGACAUGUGAAUAGGAAACACAGUGAUUAAGUACCUGAGAGAUGAAGAAUGCGAAGGAAAAGGCAUUCUGCAGCCAGAAAAAAUGAACUGUGUGAUUUCCCCCAGCACCUUGGGGGAGCGGGGAAGGGCUGGACCUCUCCUAACUCUGGCCAAUUCAGGCACUUUAUGCAUGAAAAAUGCAGCUAACUGAAUUCCAAGCUGGGGAGGAAAAAAAAAAAAACCAACCAAAAACCAACCCACUCCUGUAAAUGAGAGAGAAGAAAUCGCUUCAUGAGUUCUACGUGUGUGCCCGUGGGCUUUGGGGGCUGAUGGGCAGGAGGAAGCCCUGCAGCCCUCCCCACUGCUCAGUGCUGCACCUCAUCCCACUGUGCAGCCCCCAGCUCUGUGGCUGGGUGAGGAGCUCCCCAUGACCAGUCCCCACCAUGAUCCUGGGAGACCUGUGCCACCAGCAGCUCCUCGUGACCCUGAUGGCUUCAGGAGACAACCUGCUUCCCCCUCUCCAAGAAGUGUAGACGAGAAGGUGCCAGGCCAAGGGCUGCUGAGCAUCUGCAGUUCACCAGGUCACCCCCCUCGCCCCUGAAGGCUGCAAAGGCUGACCAGAGAAGGAUGACCUCCAGCUGGAUUGAUUCCCCAGCCUGACUCACCAGGGACACUGGGACAAGCAGCUGAGGCCACCGCAGUGGAUCUGUCAUCGGAAGGAAAGCGAGCUUCUGUCUGUGGGUGUUGAUGGAGAGCAGGCUGCAUCAGAGCUGGAAGGCUGUUCCUCCAUCCCAAAGCAGCUGGAGGCUGCGCUGCACACCCGCCCCUGCAUCCUGGUGCUACCGGCAGCGAAGGCAGUCCGCACGUGGAUAUAUCAAAUUGCUGCGACGAAGAACAAAUUCAGUUUCCUGCUGCCAAUCUUUCUGGCGUUCAAUCUGCUGCAUCUGCUCGGAGCUGAGCUGAAGGACUGUUUUUGGGUCAUGGUGAGACAUGCCUCUGCUCAGCGUGACGUGCCAGCCUGUCAGGUCUUUAUGGUGGAAGCAGCAUCGCAGCUCUGUGCCCACUGCAGAGCUCCAAGCUCCACUUGCACCACUGCAUCUGAAAUCCUCUACUGAACCCAGCAUGUGUGAGCCAGGGAGAAGCCACCAUCCUGCCACCACCAUGGCAGGACCCGCAAGGUCUGCCCUUCUCCCUGCUCCAUCCAGCCCAGAUGCUCCCUUGGGGUACUGGUGCUCCUCGUGUCCUACUGGAGGAAAGUCCUCUUAUCUGUUGAGGAUGCUCAUGGUAAGCCCAUGUCUCUAUUGUUACCUUGUCUUCACAGCUGCCUUUUAUUUCUUCUGCACCCUGGCCUCCUACUCUCCUGUUGUCUGAACACAUCCCCUUAGAUGUUAAAGAUGUCCCUUCACCUGAUGGGCCAUGGGGCAUCCCAUCACAGGACUCACCAGGAGAUGUGGAGAGCUUCCAGCCUCAAAGCUUGGACUGUGACCACCUCCAUCAUGUCUGGCUGAGAUGAUUCUGAGCUGGGAGGUCAGGGCAGGAGGCAUCUCCCUUGAUUUUUGAUGCAAACCACGGGCAGCAUCGGCAGUGGUGGCAGGAGAAGUCUGUCCUUGCCUGAUGGGUUGAUGGGAGUUCCUGAUAGGUAGGGCUGCAUGUGGGGGAUUCUCCCCACACAAAGGAGAACUCAUCGUCUUCAGCAAGUCAGCAUUCUGGGGGCUUUCCUCACUCACAGACUGUCUG